AAAUUGAAGAGUUUGAUCAUGGCUCAGAUUGAACGCUGGCGGCAGGCCUAACACAUGCAAGUCGAACGGUAACAGGAAGCAGCUUGCUGCUUUGCUGACGAGUGGCGGACGGGUGAGUAAUGUCUGGGAAACUGCCUGAUGGAGGGGGAUAACUACUGGAAACGGUGGCUAAUACCGCAUAACGUCGCAAGACCAAAGAGGGGGACCUUCGGGCCUCUUGCCAUCAGAUAUGCCCAGAUGGGAUUAGCUUGUUGGUGAGGUAACGGCUCACCAAGGCGACGAUCCCUAGCUGGUCUGAGAGGAUGACCAGCCACACUGGAACUGAGACACGGUCCAGACUCCUACGGGAGGCAGCAGUGGGGAAUAUUGCACAAUGGGCGCAAGCCUGAUGCAGCCAUGCCGCGUGUAUGAAGAAGGCCUUCGGGUUGUAAAGUACUUUCAGCGGGGAGGAAGGUGUUGCGGUUAAUAACCGCAGCAAUUGACGUUACCCGCAGAAGAAGCACCGGCUAACUCCGUGCCAGCAGCCGCGGUAAUACGGAGGGUGCAAGCGUUAAUCGGAAUUACUGGGCGUAAAGCGCACGCAGGCGGUCUGUCAAGUCGGAUGUGAAAUCCCCGGGCUCAACCUGGGAACUGCAUUCGAAACUGGCAGGCUUGAGUCUUGUAGAGGGGGGUAGAAUUCCAGGUGUAGCGGUGAAAUGCGUAGAGAUCUGGAGGAAUACCGGUGGCGAAGGCGGCCCCCUGGACAAAGACUGACGCUCAGGUGCGAAAGCGUGGGGAGCAAACAGGAUUAGAUACCCUGGUAGUCCACGCCGUAAACGAUGUCUACUUGGAGGUUGUGCCCUUGAGGCGUGGCUUCCGGAGCUAACGCGUUAAGUAGACCGCCUGGGGAGUACGGCCGCAAGGUUAAAACUCAAAUGAAUUGACGGGGGCCCGCACAAGCGGUGGAGCAUGUGGUUUAAUUCGAUGCAACGCGAAGAACCUUACCUGGUCUUGACAUCCACAGAACUUUCCAGAGAUGGAUUGGUGCCUUCGGGAACUGUG
rnacentral:rRNA from 1 species